GAUAAGAUAAGAUAAAAGGAGGCAUGCAGGAAGCAUGGUUCAUCAUCAACAGAGAAUACCUCAUGCCUAUCCUCUGUUUAUGAGCCAACUCAUCAUUCAUCUCAACCAGUGAGAGAUCCCGGUUCAGCGUGGGCCUGUAAUGUCACCAUUCACCCAGAGAAUCCUGCUGUGAUGUUUGGGGGCCCUGUGGAUCUAAACUGCACUACUUCGUGUACCAAUUACACCGGUCUGAACUGGGAGGUAUCUCUUGAAGCUAAGAUCCAGGAGGGAAAUGGGUGGAUUUCUCUGGCGAUGAAAAAUGUGGAAGAAUGGAAAGCUCAACCAUUGUGCUGGGUCAAAUAUGAAGACUCUCUUUUACUCUCCACCAGGGCAGUACUCUAUGUAUAUGAAUUCUCAACACCCACUAUCCAGCUGGCUUCUGAGAUUCAGCAAGGCCAUUCAGAGAACAUUGUGUGCAAUAUUCCUCGCUUGAAGGUGAGAGACUCCACAUCACCUCAUAGGAACAUCUCCUUGAGCAGAGGCCCAGAUGUUCUCAGCAGCAACAAUAACAAAUCGUCUCUGGAGUACAGCUUUGUGGCCGACCUUCAGAAAGAUGACCGGACUGAGAUCAUUUGUGAAGCCUAUGUCCAGGUGGGCUCAGAAGUGCUGAGAAAACAGACGAGGAGAGUUUUGAAUGUUGUGGCCAGUCCUUUCAACGUCAGCGUCUCAGCAAAUCGUGAGAGGUACAAAACAAAUGAGAACAUUAAGGUGACAUGUAAUGCUACAGGCAAACCCUUUCCGGAGUUUUCGUGGCAUCUCCCUUCCACAGAGGGUGUGGAAUUCUCAGACAACAACCGGACCAUUGAGAUAUCUUCAGCUCAGAGUUCCCAUAAUGGGACAUACCUAUGUCUGGCCAAUAAUAUUUAUGGCAAGAAAUCGGCACGAGUGGACAUCGUCUUUGAAGAGUCGACUCGCAGCUGGAUCGCCGCAGUGGUGGUGGUGACGUUGCUGGCAGUCCUGAUCACGGCUGGAGUCGUCUUGUACCGCUGUCAGAAAUGA
ensembl:lncRNA carcinoembryonic antigen-related cell adhesion molecule 5-like